UACGAAGGGGGGCUAGCGUUGUUCGGAAUUACUGGGCGUAAAGCGUGCGCAGGCGGCUUCUCAAGUCAGGGGUGAAAGCCCAGAGCUCAACUCUGGAAUUGCCUUUGAGACUGAGUGGCUUGAGUACGAGAGAGGUGAGUGGAAUUCCCAGUGUAGAGGUGAAAUUCGUAGAUAUUGGGAAGAACACCGGUGGCGAAGGCGGCUCACUGGCUCGUAACUGACGCUCAUGCACGACAGCGUGGGGAGCGAACAGG
rnacentral:rRNA from 1 species